rnacentral:lncRNA from 1 species
CUUCAACAGGUAGUGUUUGGCUAAACACCGUGAAAACUAUGGUGACCGCUUUGUUUCCUAUUCAGUAAAGCAAAAAGGCAAAUACUUAGUUUUAAGUCUUGUCUGAAUUCAGUUUUUGUGCUUUGUUCACCUGUCAAAUUUGAAAUGUCCAGAACUACCAACAUGCUCCAUGCAGACAACAAAUCUGAUAGGGAUUCAGAAAUCUUUCUUCUCAGUUAUUACCAGCAUUAUCUACUAGAGGCAACAAGUUUCUGCAGGCUUCAUGCUCCUGGUUCCUUAGCAGAAUGAAAUGCCACAGCUGUUGGGUGUAGCAGAGGACCUAAAGCCCUGUGGACAUGGUUUCCACAGUGUAUGUUCAGCUGGCUGACUCGACCGUCCACUGAAGCCUCA